rnacentral:rRNA from 1 species
CACGUGGACAAUUUACCCUUGGGACCGGGAUAACCCCUGGGAAACUGGGGCUAAUACUGGAUAGAGCAUCGGCUGCUGGAAUGCGCGAUGUUCGAAAGCUGAGGCGCCCAAGGAUAGGUCUGCGGCUGAUUAGGUUGUUGUUGAUGUAACGGAUCAACAAGCCCGCGAUCGGUACGGGUUGUGAGAGCAAUAGCCCGGAGAUGGGUUCUGAGAAAAGAACCCAGGUCCUACGGGACGCAUCAGGCGCGAAAACUUUACAAUGUGCGAAAGCGCGAUAAGGGAACUCUGAGUGCCUCCUAAGGAGGCUGUUCAGGUGUCUAAAAAGCAUCUGGAGUAAGGGCUGGGCAAGACCGGUGCCAGCCGCCGCGGUAACACCGGCAGCUCAAGUGGUAGCCAUGCUUAUUGGGUCUAAAGCGUCCGUAGCCGGCUGAGUAAGUUCCUUGGGAAAUUUGACCGCUUAACGGUUAAGCUAUCAGGGAAUACUGCUUGGCUUGGGACCGGGAGAGGUCAGAGGUACUCCAGGGGUAGGGGUGAAAUCUAUUAAUCCUUGGGGGACCACCGGUAGCGAAGGCGUCUGACCAGACCGGGUCCGACGGUGAGGGACGAAGGCUGGGGUCGCGAACCGGAUUAGAUACCCGGGUAGUCCCAGCUGUAAACGAUGCGGGCCAGGUGUUGGCAUUACUGCGAGUGAUGUCAGUGCCAAAGGGAAGCCGUUAAGCC